AAUAGAAUAGAUAUGUACAGGUAAAAUAGAGUAAUAAAUAUGUACAAACAUAUAUACAGGUAACAGGUAAUCUCCUUAACUAGCCAGGCCUCCUUUGGUCCUACUGGCCGGUCGGAGCCGGCACUGGAAAUGUUCUGAUGAGACGAGUGAAGCAGCUGAGCCAGGUAACUGCCCCAAUCUCCCAGGAGGAGUUGGGUGGUGUCACGGGUGCCCCGCCUAUGUCUGUCUGCUUCAGUCUUUUCCUGAGGCCUUCCCACUGCUCGGAAGGUAGGACUUGACGGGCCACCCGACUGACCUCUUCCAUUUACGCCCCUCCGCCUGCCCCUUGGAUGGGGUUGAAAUCACCAUCCCUCUACGCCCUCUUCCCGGCCCAGCGGGAUCCCCAGCCGGAAUGCCGGAGCUAAGUCCAGACACCUACAGCAACCCUGGAAAGACAAGGAGCGCUUAUUCCCAAUUAAGCCGCGGAGGAAGUUUCGGCGGGUUUGGAAGCACGCCAGGCGUCACGCCUCAUUAAGGACGACAGCGGUUAGGACUUUGGUUUGUGCUGCUGUCACAAGGUAAGGCCGUGCUGUCCCCUGCCCCAGCAGGAAACCCCCUGGAUUCUGAGAAGGGAUGGCCAGUUUCUAAACCAAACCCGGCCGGGUUCUGAGGCCGCCUCCGGCAAGCUGGCGGCCGUGUGGGAACCCCAGAAGGGAAUGUCCACUGUACCUCCCUCUCUCUGGGGCUCCCCAAAAGUUGGUUUGCUUGAAACCGAAGUUCUAUCUUGUCAGCUGGGUUAUGCCUCUGCCGGUGUUUGGUCUGUCUACUGUACAGGCCCAGCCCCCUUGCUCCCUGGGGACUGUGCCCAAGCUCGUGCCUGUGUGUGGGUGAAUUCUGAGCCCUGGACGGGGCUUCGGUAAAUAGAUUAAAUUGCUGAGUGGGUUGCCUAGGCCAAAAAAAAACCUAAUUCUCUCAAAGGUGGGUGUGGGUCUCGUCAGAUUGUUGACUCCAUAUCCCUUCCAGGGGCCUGAGGCAUCGGAGCUGCCAUAAUAGCUUGAGGCUGCCUGCCAGGAGACCAGACCUUCUCCCACCUCACCUCCCCUCCCAUCUCAGGCCAGAGCAGCCUAACCUGCUCCAGUUCUCUUCCUCCGAGAGGAAGUGAACUGCAGCUCUGCCAAGAGAAGAAAUUUCUCCCUCUUUCUCUUAAGCUGAGGACCAAAAAAUCUGCCAUCCUGUACUUAAGCCUAUUAAAGGAAGACAAGGAUACCUGUAUCUAGCAGUCUGUCAGCCUCGGCACCCACAACUGAACGAAACAAGAUCAAAGUCAAGAGUGAGUUAACACAAACAGAAAAGAUACUAAAGUCAAGCUCUGUCAGGUGGAAGCCAAUACCAUCCCCAGUGUACCCCAAGGUCACAGUGGCAGAGCUGGGACGAAGUCCCCAAGCCUUCCUCGUCUCAACCUUUGGACCACACGCUCGCUACCAUUGUGGCUGCUAGAACUUACCCUUUGCCUGAAUUUGAAUUUACACAAGGUAGGCCCAGCUAGAAAGCCCUGAAUGUUCCCCGUGAGCCAGGCAGCCCCUAAAUUUCUUUGACAAAUCCUACCUUGACUGCCCCGUUCCCUGCUUCCUCCCUGCCCCCAGCCCCACCUAGAGCCCAACAGUGCAUUUUCCACUGCUUUGAGAAUGUGAAAUUUAAGUUUUUGGAACCAAUUCCACAUCCAGCUCUGUAGCUCAAACAGCAGCUGAGAAGAUUAAGGGCAAUAAUGAGCUGAGGCACACGACUGGCCCAGCCAAGGACCACGGUCAAACGAAUGGCCAAGCUGCCGAUUCCUUGC